GGUCGUGUGGCCUAAUGGAUAAGGCGUCGGACUUCGGAUACGAAGAUUGCAGGUUCGACUCCUGCUACGAUCA
rnacentral:tRNA from 1 species